rnacentral:rRNA from 1 species
UACGAAGGGGGCUAGCGUUGUUCGGAAUCACUGGGCGUAAAGCGCACGUAGGCGGAUGUGCCAGUCAGGGGUGAAAUCCCGGAGCUCAACUUCGGAACUGCCUCUGAUACAGCACGUCUUGAGUCCGGAAGAGGUGGGUGGAAUUCCUAGUGUAGAGGUGAAAUUCGUAGAUAUUAGGAAGAACACCGGUGGCGAAGGCGGCCACUGGUCCGGUACUGA